rnacentral:rRNA from 1 species
UACGUAGGGUGCAAGCGUUGUCCGGAUUUAUUGGGCGUAAAGAGCGUGUAGGCGGCUAGAUAGGUCCGUUGUGAAAACUGGAGGCUCAACCUUCAGAGGUCGACCGAAACCAUCUGGCUAGAGUCCGGGAGAGGAGAGUGGAAUUCCUGGUGUAGCGGUGAAAUGCGCAGAUAUCAGGAAGAACACCCGUGGCGAAAGCGGCUCUCUGGAACGGUACUGACGCUGAGACGCGAAAGCGUGGGGAGCGAACAGG